GUUUGUGUUUGCAUUGAGAGCUGGAGAGGGAUAAAAGGGCAGUCUAGACCACCGGAGGGGGGAGAGAGUGCUACGCUUGAAACGCGUGCUUGUGUGUGUGUGUGUGCGUUAAGUGUGUGUGCUGAAAAGCAACGUUGAUUGUUGUAAUAAACAGAUUCAUUGAGAAGAGAAUAUGCCGAGUCCCGCUUCCUCCUUCACAAGAGUGCAAGAGAGUUGUCACAAUAUUGUGGCUGGUAGACAAAGUGGACAUAUGAGUUUUCUGUAUGACUUUGAGAUGUUUAUUAUUAUUAUUAUUAUUAUUAUUAUUAUUAUCUACAAAUUGAUUUAAAGCAUAUACAGUAAAUACAUAAGAGACCAUGACUGCUUGACUUUGUGCCAUUUAGGUUUGUUUCAUCAGGUGACUUUUGUGCUCCUCCUAUUCCUUUGCAUACAGUACUCUGUUUCCUCACCUGUACAGUCUGUCAGAGCUCCAGCAGGUGCAGCUUCCACAGAGAUUGAGAGAGAAAGAUGAUUGUCACUGUGAGGCAGAUCUUUCUGGGUCACAAAAAGUUACUACUGAGAGGCAUACUGGAAUCUCUGCAUUCUUGAAACAACAAACCUGACUGACAAUAAAUCAAAAUGACAAGGAGCAGGACUACAUACUGUACUGAUUACAAAACGAGUGUAAUGCAUAAGGAAUAAAGUGAAACAGAAUACAUUUCUUCUUAAGAAUCAACUCAAGAAGGGGGAGAUUUUCUGGGACAUCUUCACCAGUCUAACACAGGACCUACACAGAGGCACAAAGUUGGUGCAUCAUUUGUCUGUUUCUGCUGAUUAUCAAAGUUUCUUCUGAGGUCACAGUAGUUGUGGGUCUUAUUGGAGGCUCUGUUAUCUUGCCAUGUUCUAUCAAUGACACUGAGCUUCAAAACAGAUUUCAAGAAAUGGAUCUACACUGGAGAGACGGGUAUGGCAAGGUUGUGUAUGACAUAAUCAAAGGCAAAGAAAAUGUUACAAAACAAGACCCAUCAUACAAGAAAAGAAUUGAAACUUUCCCGGAGGAGCAUCGGAGAGGCAACUUCUUCCUCAUACUUAACAAUCUUGAUCAAACUGAUGAAGGAAAGUACACCUGUUAUAUCACGGAGCCGCUGAGGUUUCAGAGUAUUCAAACAAUAGAGCUUGUCAUCAAAGCAGAUCCUACAGAUGGACCAAGAGGAAAAGGGAACCAUGAGACUGUGGACUGUGGAUUGUGUUUACUGUUUGUUGUUUUUUCCUAUCUAGCAUUUUGCCUUUUUUCUGUGUAACAAACUAAGCAGUUAUGUCAAGGUUUGACUGGUUGAGCUCAGACUGUCUGUUUUGUCUUAGAAAACAUGCACUGUUAGCUGUUUUACAAACACAUAUAUUGUCAAUCUGAAUCGAUCAAAUUGCUUAUUUGGAAUGUAUUGUUUAUGUGUGCCUUUGAUGAACAUAUCCAUUUACUUGAGCAUCAUAUGUAUUUGAAUCUAAAUUGAUUAUCUUAUUUCAGGCAGAAGGGGAAAAUAAAGUGGCUGGAGUAGCUUUGCACCACGUCAGAAUAGAAAAGGUGUGUCCGUCGACUGAAGGCAUGUUUAGUUUCCAGUGUAAAGUGCAGUUCCUUUAUGUUAUUGACAAUCAGCCUAUGGUAUUCACCAACAACGUGUUUUUAUUUUGCUACUAUUUUUCAGUACAUUUUUACAGGUAUCUGUAUUUUAUUAGAGUAUUUUUAUUACAUUUCAUUUCAUUACAUUACAAAGCAUAAUAAUCCAUUUACAUGUAAAUUUUUGUACGUUUGGACAGACACUGAAAGCGAAACGUGAAAAUGUUUACAUAUGUACAGCUUUAGAAAUGUAAAGAUAUUAACAAAUUAUUUAUAUUAUAUUUGCAUAGUUAAAUUUGUUACUAUUUUUGAGCAAUGUCAUUGAUUAUAAAUACAGAAAAAUAAAACGAUUAAUUCCAUCAA